rnacentral:lncRNA from 1 species
ACCAUGAUCAUUGGUGUCAGUGACUCCACUCAGAUAAGUUUCUUUUCCUAUCUCCAACAAUCAUCCAAAUUUGGAUUUUCUUCUUUAUUCUUAAUUCUCAAAAUAGUUCCAUUUCAUUGUUGUUAAUUUUACUCCUCUAAAGCUCUUCCAAGGUUAGCCUUGUUUCAACAAAUAAGAAGGAAUGUCAAAGUAUACAACUAGAUUCAAAAUUGCACAAAGCAAAAUGCGGCUAGGACAUGCUAGAGAUAGUAUGAUGAAAAGUGGGGCAUAGAGUGUGAGCAAAGGUUAAAUCGGUGGAAUGGUUCAGUAAUGUCGUGGGAGAUGUAUGGUUUCAAAUAAAAGGGUCAAAAGUGAAAAAAACAGUUGGGGAUCCUAUGGUUGAGGAUCAUUCGGGAGGUCAAAACAAUUCUCGACCAGUUCAAGGCAGUCGGUCGAAGCAAAGCAUGGCAAAGAGAAAACCAUCCCCAACAAGAAUGCCAUAACUAACCACGACAUUUUAAACUAACAAAAUUUUCUUUGAUUUAAAACAGGGGAAAAGAUGGCAUUUGUUUCAGGAAGCCCUCCGUAAGGAAAGCAAGUACCAGGCAGGUUUGAUCACAAAAUUCUCAGGACCCUCCUGGAAAAUGGGACCUAGGCUAAAAUCUAAAACAAUCAUAAGGAGUAAAUAUAGCAUAAAUAUACACCAAAGGAAUAUAAGUUGGCUUCAAAGUUUGCAUAGGAGUUUUCAGGGCCCGCCUAAAUAAUGGGAUGUAACUUUAAGAAUUCCAUUAGCUAAGUAAGUUCUAUUAUAAGAGAGUAUAAUUUAGCUAUAAAAAUAUCAUUCGUAAGAUAGGCUCUAAUUUGAAAUUUCAGGACCCUCCUAGAUAAUGGGAUGAGGUUUUAAGACCAUGUGAUAUAACAAGUUUCAUUAAAUCAUGACUUUUAAAAAUAUAGCAUAGCUUUGAAAUUGGCAUUUCAUUAGAGAUUUUCAGGACACUCCUGGAUAAUGGAAUAUAGCUUGCAGAUUAUUAGAAAUAUUUGGUAAAAGGAUUCAAUUAACACUCAUAGAUGCGCCUAGUUACCAAACUGGGACAGAAAAUUUUCUUUUGUUUUGUCUAUUUUGCUGAAGUCAGACGCCCGUCUGAAGAAUAGGGAAAACAACAUGGAUGUUAAAGAUAAAAGCGUGACCAAGUACUAGCAAUCAGGCGUCCACCUGGAGAACAAGGAAAAACAGUUGAAAUAUCAGCAAUCAGGCGUCCACCUGGAGAACAAGGAACAACAGUUGAAGUAUCAGCAAUCAGGCGUCCACCUGGAGAACAAGGAACAACAGUUGAAGUAUCAGCAAUCAGGCGUCCACCUGGAGAACAAGGAACAACAGUUGAAGUAUCAGCAAUCAGGCAUUCACCUGGAGAACAAGGAAUAACAGUUGAAGUAUCAGCAAUCAGGCGUCCACCUGGAGAACAAGGAAUAUAAGUUGAAGAUUCAGUAAUCAGGCGUCCACCUGGAGAACAAGGAACAACAGUUCAAGUUUCAGCAAUCAGGCGCCCACCUGGAGAGCAAGGGAGUACAGUUCAAGUUUCAGCUUUCAAGUUCUUACUGAUAUUUUGUAACCUGAUUUAGUUUACACUCACAUAUGUGCCUAGCUACCAAACUGGGGAAGAAAAUUUUCUUUGUUUUGUCUAUUUUUGUUGAAAUCAGGAGCCCACCUGGAGAAC